rnacentral:rRNA from 1 species
CCCGAGGAAAAGAAAUCAACCGAGAUUCCCCCAGUAGCGGCGAGCGAACGGGGAGGAGCCCAGAGCCUGAAUCAGUGUGUGUGUUAGUGGAAGCGUCUGGAAAGGCGCGCGAUACAGGGUGACAGCCCCGUACACAAAAAUGCACAUACUGUGAGCUCGAUGAGUAGGGCGGGACACGUGGUAUCCUGUCUGAAUAUGGGGGGACCAUCCUCCAAGGCUAAAUACUCCUGACUGACCGAUAGUGAACCAGUACCGUGAGGGAAAGGCGAAAAGAACCCCGGCGAGGGGAGUGAAAAAGAACCUGAAACCGUGUACGUACAAGCAGUGGGAGCCUCUUUUAUGGGGUGACUGCGUACCUUUUGUAUAAUGGGUCAGCGACUUAUAUUCUGUAGCAAGGUUAACCGAAUAGGGGAGCCGAAGGGAAACCGAGUCUUAACUGGGCGUUAAGUUGCAGGGUAUAGACCCGAAACCCGGUGAUCUAGCCAUGGGCAGGUUGAAGGUUGGGUAACACUAACUGGAGGACCGAACCGACUAAUGUUGAAAAAUUAGCGGAUGACUUGUGGCUGGGGGUGAAAGGCCAAUCAAACCGGGAGAUAGCUGGUUCUCCCCGAAAGCUAUUUAGGUAGCGCCUCGUGAAUUCAUCUCCGGGGGUAGAGCACUGUUUCGGCAAGGGGGUCAUCCCGACUUACCAACCCGAUGCAAACUGCGAAUACCGGAGAAUGUUAUCACGGGAGACACACGGCGGGUGCUAACGUCCGUCGUGAAGAGGGAAACAACCCAGACCGCCAGCUAAGGUCCCAAAGUCAUGGUUAAGUGGGAAACGAUGUGGGAAGGCCCAGACAGCCAGGAUGUUGGCUUAGAAGCAGCCAUCAUUUAAAGAAAGCGUAAUAGCUCACUGGUCGAGUCGGCCUGCGCGGAAGAUGUAACGGGGCUAAACCAUGCACCGAAGCUGCGGCAGCGACGCUUAUGCGUUGUUGGGUAGGGGAGCGUUCUGUAAGCCUGUGAAGGUGUACUGUGAGGUAUGCUGGAGGUAUCAGAAGUGCGAAUGCUGACAUAAGUAACGAUAAAGCGGGUGAAAAGCCCGCUCGCCGGAAGACCAAGGGUUCCUGUCCAACGUUAAUCGGGGCAGGGUGAGUCGACCCCUAAGGCGAGGCCGAAAGGCGUAGUCGAUGGGAAACAGGUUAAUAUUCCUGUACUUGGUGUUACUGCGAAGGGGGGACGGAGAAGGCUAUGUUGGCCGGGCGACGGUUGUCCCGGUUUAAGCGUGUAGGCUGGUUUUCCAGGCAAAUCCGGAAAAUCAAGGCUGAGGCGUGAUGACGAGGCACUACGGUGCUGAAGCAACAAAUGCCCUGCUUCCAGGAAAAGCCUCUAAGCAUCAGGUAACAUCAAAUCGUACCCCAAACCGACACAGGUGGUCAGGUAGAGAAUACCAAGGCGCUUGAGAGAACUCGGGUGAAGGAACUAGGCAAAAUGGUGCCGUAACUUCGGGAGAAGGCACGCUGAUAUGUAGGUGAAGCGACUUGCUCGUGGAGCUGAAAUCAGUCGAAGAUACCAGCUGGCUGCAACUGUUUAUUAAAAACACAGCACUGUGCAAACACGAAAGUGGACGUAUACGGUGUGACGCCUGCCCGGUGCCGGAAGGUUAAUUGAUGGGGUUAGCGGUAACGCGAAGCUCUUGAUCGAAGCCCCGGUAAACGGCGGCCGUAACUAUAACGGUCCUAAGGUAGCGAAAUUCCUUGUCGGGUAAGUUCCGACCUGCACGAAUGGCGUAAUGAUGGCCAGGCUGUCUCCACCCGAGACUCAGUGAAAUUGAACUCGCUGUGAAGAUGCAGUGUACCCGCGGCAAGACGGAAAGACCCCGUGAACCUUUACUAUAGCUUGACACUGAACAUUGAGCCUUGAUGUGUAGGAUAGGUGGGAGGCUUUGAAGUGUGGACGCCAGUCUGCAUGGAGCCGGCCUUGAAAUACCACCCUUUAAUGUUUGAUGUUCUAACGUUG